CCGAGCGGGCUGGGGCUGAGGAGCGGCUGCCGGGAGCGGGACAGAGGGGGGUGCGGAGAGGGGCUUCGGCUGGUUUUUGAGGCUGCCCAGUGGGGAGGAGGCAGGCAGAGUGGCUUCAGAUCUGCUCUCAGGGGUGGUGGUUAGCGCCGCGGAGUUUCAUGGAUCCCAAAGCUGCCGGGGAAGCGCCCGGUGAAGCCGCAGGAGCCCUGGCACAGGCCUGAGCCGCCCCAGCCCGGCGCGGCCUUCCCCCUCAGCUCCCGCCGCUCCCGCCCGAGCCCUUCGGGCCGAAAGGGCUCCUGAGGGGACAGCCCAGGGUGGGAACCCGAGCACGGGAGAGCUCCAGCGCCGCUCUAGCAGAGACAGCCACAUCAAGAGUUAACCCGAAAGUGAAACUGAACGAGCGGUUUCAGAAAAUUCUGGAAUAUCACCAUCCACCCCUCCCCUCCCUGUCGGGAUAUAUUCGGCCGUUUCCCUUCCUCCCUCCGAGCACAACAGACACAACAGAGGCUGGUGGCGAGGGGAGCCGCGGUCCCACGGUACUGGGAUUAGAGCAGACUCAUCGCAGCUCUUACUCCCAGCCAGCCGACCAUGGGUUUAAAAUGCUUAUGCAUUGGCCUCCUCGUGGGACUUGUCAUUGGAGCUGCAUUCAUAGCCGUGGCAAGUGGUGCACCAGUAGCCAUAGCUGCAGCAGGGGUUAGCAAGACCAAGGCUGCUGCCUUCAUUUUGACAGUCGGUGA